rnacentral:lncRNA from 1 species
UUGCGUACCGCGCGCACACACACACCCCCCCUCCCUCCCUCCCUCCCUCCCACAAAGCCGGGCGGGCCGUGCGCGUACCUUCCCGCUUGGCCUUUCACUGAAUGCCUGCUUCUGUGUCGGUCACACGAGUGUAACACAAUGUAGCCGUGUGCAGAUUAUCAGGAGUCCUUCAGGAGUUCUUGGCACGCUGUUUGCUGCUGCUGCAGCUCAGAGGAGGAUGAUUCAUCUUCUCCUCCGGGCUGUGACUUGACUUCGAAGGUUUCGCAACACUGGGUGGCUUUAUAACGACAUCAUUGCCGGCUGUGUGUGUGUGCCUCCCAAAAGCUUUCUUUGCAAACUUGCGAGCGAAAGAGCAGCGAGCGGCAAGGGGGGGGGACAAAUCUUAAAACAGCAGCCCCCCCCUCUUUCCUAGGGAAAAACAAUGGCGCUUUACAUCUGCCAGCUCUUCCUCUUAGCUGCCGAUUUAACGCUGGCGUCCGCGAUCUCCUGCGUCCUUUACACGCUCACCUGCCUGUGUAUUGGGACUGUCGUCAGUUUGUUGAUCCUUCUCUGCUCCUUUGGGGUGGCGAAGAACGUGAGGAAAAUGGUGGGCCGAAUGGGGGGUGCGCUCCUCAGCUUGGCUUGGAGGAGCCCCGUUGGAAAGAUGCUUUUGAGGAAAUCUGAACAUCCAGAGUUUGAGGUGCUGGCAGCGCCUCAUGGCCAGGAGGCAAACUGGGACCCAGUUCCGAAGGAGGAAGGCGCAUCCGCCACUAAACUGCCAGGGACUCGGAAGAAAUCACAGAAGCCUCUGGGGCAGAGUCAGCUUCCUCCGAAAGGAACGCCUGGAGUAAUAAAGAAGCCUUCCAUCUUGACGUGGGAAGAGAAGGAAACAUCAAAAGAAUAUGAAGGCAGUAUACCUCGUAAGCAGAAGAACAGUUUCCUGUCACCUGUUUUUUUGCUUGCUCUCCUCUGGGCUCCUGUGGACCUGGUGUGCCCUUGUCUGAAGAAAACAAGGCUGAACGUGUGAUUGACUAAUGAUUGUAACCGGUGUGGAUAUCAUGCGGAGGAACUUCUGUCUUCCUUUUCUCCUCACUUACACAGAAGAGACAUUUCAUGGCUUGCUAAGUAUGAAACGGCUGUGGUUCAAAAUAGGUAUUGGCACAACAAAUGUUGGAGAGAGAAAACGUUGGGUCCCUGUUUUGCAGGACUGAAAUUAGAGGUUUAGGCUUUUGACAGAACUUUUACCAGCCUGACGUGGAUGGAAAGAUCAUCCCGACUGCACUGAGAGACUAAAGUGCAAUUUUCACAUCUGCCGGGUGAGAAGCGUUGUCAAAAUGUUACCUACAGGGAUAAGUGAUGUACGGUGACAGGAAGCAAUGAAGGACACCCUGUGGAAAGGCUAUUGGAAAUUAAGCUCUCAGCUCACACAAAGCUUCAGUUGAGCCAAACACCUGCCUUUUUGCUCUCGUGCUAUAAUUCAGAAUUGUCUCCAUGUCUUUUCCUUCUGGCGAUGACUCAAAUCAGUACAGCAGGGCAUCCAUCUCUCUAGCAGGAAAGCCUUCUGGGAGGGCAUGCUUUUCUACCUGUACAGAUGAAAGACCGCUGAGGACAGCCAGGGUGCAAGUGACACUAAUGAUGGCCAACAUUUCUCCCCCCACUUUUUUUUAAACUGGGCAAGGCAUGUGAGAAACACCACAAGAGAUGCUUGUAUUCUGGACAGAGUAUGCUAUAUUCGGGACUUUUUCUUUAAAAGGUGGAGGCCUGGAAAGGCCUAAAACAGGUCAUAAAGGGGCAAAAAUGAUUAUAUUUGGCAACUUGGGUAGACAGGGACUCUGGGGUUCAUAUUUUCAUUCCUCCCUAAAAUUGGGUAGGCUGUUUUUGGAAGGUCUAAGGAUGUGACUCUCUAAGAUCUGGUGCCCUAGACUCUUAGAAGCUGCCCAUAGGGCUUCUAGUUGUACCGAGCAUCACCUCUAGGCCUUGUUUACUCCAUAGGGUCGCUGUGCAAGACAAAAGAAAGGGGGAGGGCAUCUUGAGACAUGAGCUCAGUCACCCCUGAGGAAAGGCAAGAUAAAAUUUAGCAAAGAUAAUAAUAAGAUGUUUGUAUAAUUCGCUGAAUACAUAUGUGCUGAGAAGUCUAACUAAUCACAGUAUCUUAAAACGUGAACAGUGUAAUAAGAAAUGUGCAUCUUAAGUGAUCCAAGUAGGCAAUGGUCAAGCAACAGGUAAGUGAAGUGGAUGCUCUUCCUAGGAAGAGCUGUUUAAAUUAACAGAAGAUUGGUGGGUUGCUGGGAAAAGUGCUUUUUCCUUAAGGGGGUAUGUGGUAUAUUUUCUUUACUUUUUCUUUAAUGGUAUGAAUCCCAUUUGGGGACAGUGCUGGCAAAUAAGUAGUUAAUGUGAAUUGCUUUGAACAUUUUUCAAGACUAUGUAAUUUUGCUAACGUUUUGUUCUUAUUUUAAAAAUGUAUUUAUUGAAAUAAAAGUGCAUUUUAUUUGUUUGCUAUUUACCA